rfam:Larimichthys crocea isolate SSNF unplaced genomic scaffold scaffold60, whole genome shotgun sequence.
CCAGGGUGCGCUCUAGCAGCACAUCAUGUUUUGCAGAUAUGUGCUGAAUCACUCCAAAUCAUUAUGUGCUGCCACCGUGAGCCCUGG